rnacentral:ncRNA from 1 species
GGAAUAGACUAAGAACCAAGGAAGGGGAUCUACACCAGAAAAGGAGCGGACUCGAACCGCUGACAUGCAUCCGCCACAGGGUAAACCACCGCCUCUCAGGCCCCCGAGCUAACUCCAAAAACCCGUCCUCAAUUCGGAUUGCGGGCUGCAACUCGCCUGCAUGAAGCCGGAAUCGCUAGUAAUCGCCGGUUAGCCAUCCGGCGGUGAAUUUGUUCCCGGGCCUUGUACA